UACGAAGGGGGCUAGCGUUGCUCGGAAUCACUGGGCGUAAAGCGCACGUAGGCGGCUUCUUAAGUCAGGGGUGAAAUCCUGGAGCUCAACUCCAGAAUUGCCUUUGAUACUGAGUAGCUUGAGUCCGGGAGAGGUGAGUGGAACUGCGAGUGUAGAGGUGAAAUUCGUAGAUAUUCGCAAGAACACCAGUGGCGAAGGCGGCUCACUGGCCCGGUACUGACGCUGAGGUGCGAAAGCGUGGGGAGCAAACAGG
rnacentral:rRNA from 1 species